UUUCUAUGGAAGCUUGCUUCCACUGAGAAGAUAGUGGCGAACGGGUGAGUAACGACGUGGGUAACCUGCCCAUAAGAGGGGGAGUAACAUCCGGAAACGGGUGCUAAUACCGCAUAGUUUUCUUGAUCGCAUGAUCGGGAAAGGAAAGACGGCCUUUGUGCUGUCGCUUAUGGAUGGACCCGCGGCGUAUUAGUUAGUUGGUGAGGUAACGGCUCACCAAGACGAUGAUACGUAGCCGACCUGAGAGGGUGAUCGGCCACAUUGGGACUGAGACACGGCCCAAACUCCUACGGGAGGCAGCAGUAGGGAAUCUUCCGCAAUGGACGAAAGUCUGACGGAGCAACGCCGCGUGAGUGAAAGAAGGUUUUCGGAUCGUAAAACUCUGUUGUCAGAGAAGAACAAGUUGGAGAGUAACUGCUCCAGCCUUGACGGUAUCUGACCAGAAAGCCACGGCUAACUACGUGCCAGCCGCGGC
rnacentral:rRNA from 1 species